GACUCGGUGGCGGAUGGUCCGCGCCCACAGGCCUUGAAGGAACCGAAAGCCAGUUACGUGUGGGAGUCGUCUGUUCGAUCCAGGCCCGAGUCA